CCUACGGGCGGCAGCAGUGAGGAAUAUUGGUCAAUGGGCGAGAGCCUGAACCAGCCAAGUCGCGUGAAGGAUGACGGCCCUACGGGUUGUAAACUUCUUUUGUCAGGGAGCAAUUGAGUCCACGUGUGGUCUUAGCGAGAGUACCUGAAGAAAAAGCAUCGGCUAACUCCGUGCCAGCAGCCGCGGUAAUACGGAGGAUGCGAGCGUUAUCCGGAUUUAUUGGGUUUAAAGGGUGCGUAGGCGGAAUAUCAAGUCAGCGGGAAAAUUGAGAGGUUCAACCUCUUCGAGCCGUUGAAACUGGUGUUCUUGAGUGAGUGAGAGGUAUGCGGAAUGCGUGGUGUAGCGGUGAAAUGCAGAGAGAUCACGAAGAACUCCGAUUGCGAAGGCAGCAUACCGGCGCUCAACUGACGCUCAUGCACGAAAGUGUGGGUAUCGAACAGGAUUAGAUACCCUUGUAGUC
rnacentral:rRNA from 1 species